rnacentral:rRNA from 1 species
UUUGUCUUUAUGGCAAAUGUGAGAUGCAGUGUAUGGAAUGUCAAAUUUCUAAUAUGAGAAAUUAACGAUUUAAGUCCUUCUUAAAUGAGGCCAUUUACCCAUAGAGGGUGCCAGGCCCGUAUAACGUUAAUGAUUACUAGAUGACAUUUCCAAAGAGUCGUGUUGCUUGAUAGUGCAGCACUAAGUGGGUGGUAAACUCCAUCUAAAACUAAAUAUAACCAUGAGACCGAUAGUAAACAAGUACCGUGAGGGAAAGUUGAAAAGAACUCUGAAUAGAGAGUUAAAUAGUACGUGAAACUGCUUAGAGGUUAAACCCGAUGAACCUGAAUAUCCAUUAUGGAAAAUUCAUCGUUAUGAUUUUAAUAUAUUAUAAUAAUGAUGUGCAUUUUUUCUAUAAAGGACAUUGUAAUCUAUUAAUUUUAAAAUUUAUCAUAAGAUCACCAUAAGCUUAUUUAAAUUAUUUUGCUUGCAAUUUAACAUAGAAUAAAAGGUGUUGAUUUGAUAAAGUGUUGAUAGAUUUAAGUAUGGUGCUUAAAUAAUAUUUUAUAAUAGCAUAUUAAUUAAUUAUUUGUAUGUUUUUUUAUAUGCACUUAUACGAUUAACAAUGCGAAAGAUUCAGGAUACCUUCGGGACCCGUCUUGAAACACGGACCAAGGAGUCUAACAUAUUUGCAAGUUAUUGGGAGAAACCUAAUAGCGAAAUUAACAUAACUAAUUGGGAUUCGUUUUUAGGCUAAGUCUAUGAAUUCAAUCCCGGGGCGUUCUAUACAGUUAUGUAUAAUAAUAUUUAUAUUAUUUAUACCUCUAACUAGAGCGUACCUUGAGCAUAUAUGCUGUGACCCGAAAGAUGGUGAACUAUACUUGAUCAGGUUGAAGUCAGGGGAAACCCUGAUGGAAGACCGAAACAGUUCUGACGUGCAAAUCGAUUGUCAGAAUUGAGUAUAGGGGCGAAAGACCAAUCGAACCAUCUAGUAGCUGGUUCCCUCCGAAGUUUCUCUCAGGAUAGCUGGUGCAUUUAAAGAUUAUGUAAAAUAAUCUUAUCUGGUAAAGCGAAUGAUUAGAGGCCUUAGGGUCGAAACGACCUUAACCUAUUCUCAAACUUUAAAUGGGUAAGAACCUCACCUUUCUUGGUAUGAAGGUUGUGGUUGUGAUAUAAUGUGCCCAGUGGGCCACUUUUGGUAAGCAGAACUGGCGCUGUGGGAUGAACCAAACGUAAUGUUACGGUGCCCAAAUUAACAACUCAUGCAGAAACCAUGAAAGGCGUU